rnacentral:rRNA from 1 species
GGAUCCAGACUUUGAUCAUGGCUCAGGAUGAACGCUAGCUACAGGCCUAACACAUGCAAGUCGAGGGGAAACGGCAGCUUAGCUUGCUAAGCUGGACGUCGACCGGCGCACGGGUGAGUAACGCGUAUCCAACCUGCCCCACGGUGAGGGAUAACCCGCGGAAACGCGGCCUAAUACCUCAUGGUCUCCGAGCUUGACAUCAACCUUGGAGUAAAGAUUCAUUGCCGUGGGAUGGGGAUGCGUCUGAUUAGCUUGUUGGCGGGGCAACGGCCCACCAAGGCAACGAUCAGUAGGGGUUCUGAGAGGAAAGCCCCCCACAUUGGAACUGAGACACGGUCCAAACUCCUACGGGAGGCAGCAGUGAGGAAUAUUGGUCAAUGGGCAAGAGCCUGAACCAGCCAAGUAGCGUGCAGGAUGACGGCCCUAUGGGUUGUAAACUGCUUUUAUGCGGGGAUAAAGCGGGCGACGUGUCGCCCUUUGCAGGUACCGCAUGAAUAAGGACCGGCUAAUUCCGUGCCAGCAGCCGCGGUAAUACGGAAGGUCCGGGCGUUAUCCGGAUUUAUUGGGUUUAAAGGGAGCGCAGGCCGGGUAUUAAGCGUGUUGUGAAAUGUAGGCGCCCAACGUCUGCACCGCAGCGCGAACUGGUGCCCUUGAGUACGCACGACGUUGGCGGAAUUCGCCGUGUAGCGGUGAAAUGCUUAGAUAUGGCGAAGAACUCCGAUUGCGAAGGCAGCUGACGGGAGCGCUACUGACGCUCAUGCUCGAAAGCGCGGGUAUCGAACAGGAUUAGAUA